ACGUAGGGGGCAAGCGUUAUCCGGAUUUACUGGGUGUAAAGGGAGCGUAGACGGCAUGGCAAGCCAGAUGUGAAAGCCCGGGGCUCAACCCCGGGACUGCAUUUGGAACUGUCAGGCUAGAGUGUCGGAGAGGAAAGCGGAAUUCCUAGUGUAGCGGUGAAAUGCGUAGAUAUUAGGAGGAACACCAGUGGCCAAGGCGGCUUUCUGGCCGAUGACUCACGUUGAGGCUCGAAAGCGUGGGGAGCAAACAG
rnacentral:rRNA from 1 species